UGUGGCCUUCACAUUUUAAAUGUUGUCAAGAUUCUCUCUUCAAGUCAAUUAUGUAACUCAAUUUUACUGGUGUGAACUGAAGUUAGAUUCGUAAAAUAAAUUUUCUUUUUUUACCAAUUCUUGCAUGGAGUCCCUAUGAAAAUGGUUAUUUCAUUGUUUUAAAUGUGAGCAUGUGUGAUACUGGUGCAUAUCAAGAAGUUUGGUUUCUUGACCCACGAUUGUGCUUAUUUAGUUAAUUGGUUAUCUGAGCUUAAUGUUGUAUGAGGUUGAAGA